rnacentral:rRNA from 1 species
ACGGGAGGCAGCAGUGGGGAAUAUUGCACAAUGGGGGAAACCCUGAUGCAGCGACGCCGCGUGAAGGAUGAAGUAUUUCGGUAUGUAAACUUCUAUCAGCAGGGAAGAAAAUGACGGUACCUGACUAAGAAGCCCCGGCUAACUACGUGCCAGCAGCCGCGGUAAUACGUAGGGGGCAAGCGUUAUCCGGAUUUACUGGGUGUAAAGGGAGCGUAGACGGCGAUGCAAGUCUGAUGUGAAAGCCCGGGGCUCAACCCCGGCACUGCAUUGGAAACUGUGUUGCUAGAGUGCAGGAGAGGUAAGUGGAAUUCCUAGUGUAGCGGUGAAAUGCGUAGAUAUUAGGAGGAACACCAGUGGCGAAGGCGGCUUACUGGACUGUAACUGACGUUGAGGCUCGAAAGCGUGGGGAGCAAACAGGAUUAGAUACCCUGGUA